rnacentral:rRNA from 1 species
UACGUAGGGGGCAAGCGUUGUCCGGAUUCAUUGGGCGUAAAGCGCACGUAGGCGGGUUCUUAAGUCAGGGGUGAAAUCCUGGAGCUCAACUCCAGAACUGCCUUUGAUACUGGGAAUCUCGAGUCCGGGAGAGGUGAGUGGAACUGCGAGUGUAGAGGUGAAAUUCGUAGAUAUUCGCAAGAACACCAGUGGCGAAGGCGGCUCACUGGCCCGGUACUGACGCUGAGGUGCGAAAGCGUGGGGAGCAAACAGG